rnacentral:rRNA from 1 species
UACGUAGGGUGCAAGCGUUAAUCGGAAUUACUGGGCGUAAAGCGUGCGUAGGCGGUUUGUUAAGUCCGUUGUGAAAGCCCUGGGCUCAACCUGGGAAUUGCAGUGGAUACUGGCGAGCUAGAGUGCGGUAGAGGAUGGUGGAAUUCCCGGUGUAGCGGAUGAAUGCGUAGAGAUCGGGAGGAACACCCGUGGCGAAGGCGACUUCCUGGCCUGUUCUUGACGCUGAGGCGCGAAAGCUAGGGGAGCAAACGGG